rnacentral:lncRNA from 10 species
GGGGCGGCCUGGGACUCGGGGGCGGGGUCAGUCAUAUAAGGCUGUGCCCAGCGCUUUUGGAAGCAGUAAGUCCAGCCCGAGGCUAAGGAGGUGUUAACCACCGAAGGGAGGUAGAAUGUUUUUCCCCACCAGAGGAGGCAGCGACCACGUCUCCUCUAUGGAGGCAUUCAAGAGCCGUCCAGCUGAAGCAGCAUCACUGUCUGAGCUCGGAAGGCACAAUCCACAUAGGUCUGCAUGGUCCACCGAGCUGCAUACCCACGGGGCCAGCGGGAGGUGGGCAGCUGCUGGGCUCUCUUCUGAAGCAGACAGGAUCUCACUCUGUUGCUGAGGCUGGAUCACAGCUCCCUGCAACCUUGAACUCUCCCUCAAGCAAUUCUCCCCACUCUGCCUUCCAAAGCACUAGCAUUAUAGGCCUAAGCCACCACUCCCAUCCACUGUAGUGUAAACUGUCUCCUUCAAUGUUUCCAAUAGUUGCGGAGCAGAUCAGAUAAGGGUUCUUCCUGUCUGUUGCUUCAAGUUUCAUUCUCUCUUUAAACAAUACAAGGUUGGCUUCCAUGGUUCCUUCUUAAAGAAUGUUGAAGGUGUGUCUUCAGAUUCAUUUAGUGUUCGUGGAACCCCAGGGAAAGCUGAUGUAAAAACCUCUUUUUUCUCCCAUAUGUCUCAAAAAGUUGUAUUUUCUGGGUCCAAGGGAUCUGCAAGCCUCCUAAAGGCAUUUCCAUUGUCACUACCACCAGGUGUGAACUGUAAUCUGGCACGUAUAGUUCCAAGAACUGUCAUAAUAGAUGCUGAAGAAACAUUGUGAAGUUAACUCGCUGUUACCAACUGUGAAGUCAUUAGCUAGAGGAAUCUUGGGCGGUCUGAAAUCUGAGAUACUGUGGAAAGAACAGAAAGAUCCUGUAUCUUUCCUAUAAUUGUUCUACUGGAAGUUGUCAUUUUACACAGGAGACAUUCUGUUUUAUUUAUUUUCUUUUGAGACAGGGUCUCACUCUGUCGCCCAGGCUGGAGUGCAGUGUUGUUACCACAGGUCACUGGUGCCUCCACUGCCUGAGGACUGCUCAAGCAAUCCUCCUGCCUCAGUCCCCUGAGGAGCUGGGGCCACAGGCCUGCACCACCAUGCCUGGCUAAUUAUUUUUAUUUGUAGAGACAAAGUCUAUCUUGCCUAGGCUGAUCUCGAACUCCUGGGCUCAAGUAAUCCUCCCGCGGUGGCUUCUCAAAGUGCUUGGGAUUACAGAUGGUCUUGCUCUGUCACCCAGUCUGGAAUGCAGUGGUGCCAUCAUAGCUCACUACAGCCUGAGCUGUACUGAGCUCGAGGGAUCUUCCCGUCUCCGCCUCCUAAGCAGCUGGGACUACAGGUAAUGGAAGUGGGCAGAGAAUGAUCCUUUCCCUAGGCUCCAGUGUGUAAGAAUUAAAGAAAGAGGAAAGAAACACAAUGGCUUGAUGGUCGAGGACAGGUUUAUUUUAAAGAAAACAAACCCAAGAGUGGCUUCUGGCUGAGUUAGAUCAGAGAAGAGAAGUGAUUUUCUUGAAAUGCAUGAGGCUGGAAAGGGAGCUGGCACUUAAAGUGGCGGUGUUUGUCCGAGAGGAUGGUGCUCCUGCUCUGUCACAGUGGGCAUGGGGAUUCAGGCCACUGCCACCGAAUUUCAAGAGCCCAAGCACAGAGCCCAGAACUAAAUUGUGAGGGUUUAAAAAAAAAAAAAGCUUUAUUGAAGUAUAAUUGACAUACAAUAAACUUGAAUAUUUAAAGUGU